UCAAAUAUUUGCAAAAUUUACUUAGUUGUUAUUUACCGUUUUUUUUUAAUUAUUUUGCGUGUCCGGAGCAGCUGGCAUCUCUGUACAACUUAGAAGACUACAGAAGAGAUCAAUAGCAACACUUUGCACUUCCGUCGCCUCAUAUUAUAACUAUCAAAAUAAAUAAAUAAUUUCAUCAACCGAUUAAGAUUUUAAUCGAUUGAUAAAAAUCUUAAUUCAAAUUUCAAUUCUAAUUCUACAGAGAAAAAAAAUUCAACUGCUGCGACUAUUCAUCCUGCAGAAAGAAUUCACAGCGUUUCCUCAUGUUGAUACUCUGGUCUGCAAACAAAAAACUAAAGAAAUAUGGGUCAAAAAUGAGAAAUAAGUGUGGAAGCACGUGCAGUUAUUAUUGCACUCACUUCAUUCAGAAGGCUAUUCAAGUAGACAAAUUGCCUCUAAAAAUAAUGUUUCUCAGACCACUGAUGUCAGAACUUUGGAAAGGAAGAAAUAAACUGGCCAAAAUAAGAGGCGUCAGCGAUCAGGGAGACCUAGAAUAACAUCCAAAAGUGAGAAUAAGUUUAUCUGCAUUCAAAGUAAGCAGCAGCGGACUCGAACAGCACCAGAAAUCCGUGGGGAAUUGAAUGCUACUCUGCAGAAAAUUGUGCCAGUAUCUCCUGUACAACAUCGACUUCCUGACUAUGGUUUAAAAGGUUGUGUAGCUGCUAGAAAACAUCUUUUGAAGAAACAAACUAAAGUAGAACGACUGCAAUGGGCUAAAGAACAUGUUACUUGGUCUUUAGAACAGUGGUCAAAGGUUUUGUUUACGGACGAAUCAAAAUUUGAAUUGUUUGGAAGCAAACGAAGGCAGUAUGUUCGUCGUUUAGUUGGUGAACGUAUGACAAGUCAAUGUUUACUACCAACUGUAAAGCAUGGUGGAGGAUCAGUCAUGAUUUUGGGGAUGUUUUGCCGGUGACAAAGUAGGACAUCUUCUAAGAAUAGAGAGUAUUAUGGAUAAAAAAAAAUAUUAUCGCAGAAUAUUGCAGCGUUACGCUUUUCCAUGUGGACAGAGAUUGGUCAAGGAUUUUUUUUUUUCAGUAAGAUAACGAUACAAAACAUUCAUCGAAAUUGUGUAGAAACUACAUUGCAUCAAAAGAGAAGAAAAAAGUACUGAAAUGCAUGGAUUGGCCCCCCUCAAUCCCCUUAUAUUAAUCCUUUUGAGCUAUUGUGGGAUGAACUCGUUAGAAAUGUUAGAAAAAUGAGACGUGCCAAUCAAAACAAGCUUUGGGAAUCUUUACUUAGUUGCUGGAUCUAGAUCUCAGUUAGAACAUUACAAAAACUAAUAGAAAGAGUGCCAAAGGUGAUAAAGGUUAAAGGAGGAUAUUUCGAAGAAUCCAAGAUUGGACGAAAUUCAUAAGUUAUGCAUAAAAUUAUAGUUCUUACCGUAAAA